rnacentral:rRNA from 1 species
AAUGAUGGCCACGCUGUCUCCANCCCGAGACUCAGUGAAAUUGAAAUCGCUGUGAAGAUGCAGUGUACCCGCGGCUAGACGGAAAGACCCCGUGAACCUUUACUACAGCUUGGCACUGAACAUUGACCCUACAUGUGUAGGAUAGGUGGGAGGCUUUGAAGCACGUACGCCAGUAUGUGUGGAGCCGUCCUUGAAAUACCACCCUUGUAGUGUUGAUGUUCUAACGUCGACCCCUAAUCGGGGUUGCGGACAGUGCCUGGUGGGUAGUUUGACUGGGGCGGUCUCCUCCCAAAGAGUAACGGAGGAGCACGAAGGUGGGCUAAUCACGGUUGGACAUCGUGAGGUUAGUGCAAUGGCAUAAGCCGCUUGACUGCGAGAAUGACAAUUCGAGCAGGUGCGAAAGCAGGUCAUAGUGAUCCGGUGGUUCUGAAUGGAAGGGCCAUCGCUCAACGGAUAAAAGGUACUCCGGGGAUAACAGGCUGAUACCGCCCAAGAGUUCAUAUCGACGGCGGUGUUUGGCACCUCGAUGUCGGCUCAUCACAUCCUGGGGCUGAAGUCGGUCCCAAGGGUAUGGCUGUUCGCCAUUUAAAGUGGUACGCGAGCUGGGUUUAGAACGUCGUGAGACAGUUCGGUCCCUAUCUGCCGUGGGCGUUGGAAGAUUGAAGGGGGCUGCUCCUAGUACGAGAGGACCGGAGUGGACGAACCUCUGGUGUUCGGGUUGUGUCGCCAGACGCAUUGCCCGGUAGCUAAGUUCGGAAUCGAUAACCGCUGAAAGCAUCUAAGCGGGAAGCGAGCCCUGAGAUGAGUCUUCCCUGAUACUUUAAGUAUCCUAAAGGGUUGUCGGAGACUACGACGUUGAUAGGUCAGGUGUGUAAGUGCUGUGAGGCAUUGAGCUAACUGAUACUAAUUGCCCGUGAGGCUUAACCAUACAACACCCAAGGGGUUU